GCAUGGGGGUUGGUGGAAAGGUUUUUUCUGGUGGGGGAUGGGCUCGCGGCCUAUCAGCUUGUUGGUGGGGUGAUGGCCUACCAAGGCUUUGACGGGUAGCCGGCCUGAGAGGGUGACCGGUCACAUUGGGACUGAGAUACGGCCCAGACUCCUACGGGAGGCAGCAGUGGGGAAUAUUGCACAAUGGGCGAAAGCCUGAUGCAGCGACGCCGCGUGAGGGAUGGAGGCCUUCGGGUUGUAAACCUCUUUCGCUCAUGGUCAAGCCGCAGCUUUGGGUUGUGGUGAGGGUAGUGGGUAAAGAAGCGCCGGCUAACUACGUGCCAGCAGCCGCGGUAAUACGUAGGGCGCGAGCGUUGUCCGGAAUUAUUGGGCGUAAAGGGCUUGUAGGCGGUUGGUCGCGUCUGCCGUGAAAUCCUCUGGCUUAACUGGGGGCGUGCGGUGGGUACGGGCUGACUUGAGUGCGGUAGGGGAGACUGGAACUCCUGGUGUAGCGGUGGAAUGCGCAGAUAUCAGGAAGAACACCGGUGGCGAAGGCGGGUCUCUGGGCCGUUACUGACGCUGAGGAGCGAAAGCGUGGGGAGCGAACAGGAUUAGAUACCCUGGUAGUCCACGCUGUAAACGUUGGGCAAUAGGUGUGGGGGCCACCCCUGGGUUUCUGCGCCGUAGCUAACGCUUUAAGUGCCCCGCCUGGGGAGUACGGCCGCAAGGCUAAAACUCAAAGGAAUUGACGGGGGCCCGCACAAGCGGCGGAGCAUGCGGAUUAAUUCGAUGCAACGCGAAGAACCUUACCAAGGCUUGACAUGCACGGCGGCACUGCAGAGAUGUGGUGGCAUUUAGUUGGUCGUGUGCAGGUGGUGCAUGGUUGUCGUCAGCUCGUGUCGUGAGAUGUUGGGUUAAGUCCCGCAACGAGCGCAACCCUUGCCCUACGUUGCCAGCACGUGAUGGUGGGGACUCGUGGGGGACUGCCGGGGUUAACUCGGAGGAAGGUGGGGAUGACGUCAAAUCAUCAUGCCCCUUAUGUCUUGGGCUUCACGCAUGCUACAAUGGUUGGUACAGAGGGUUGCGAAAUCGUGAGGUGGAGCGAAUCCCUUAAAGCCAGUCUCAGUUCGGAUUGGGGUCUGCAACUCGACCCCAUGAAGGUGGAGUCGCUAGUAAUCGCAGAUCAGCAACGCUGCGGUGAAUACGUUCUCGGGCCUUGCACUCACCGCCCGUCAAG
rnacentral:rRNA from 1 species